rnacentral:rRNA from 1 species
CCUACGGGAGGCAGCAGUGAGGAAUAUUGGUCAAUGGACGAGAGUCUGAACCAGCCAAGUAGCGUGAAGGAUGACUGCCCUAUGGGUUGUAAACUUCUUUUAUAAAGGAAUAAAACGAGGCACGUGUGCCUUUUUGCAUAUACUUUAUGAAUAAGGAUCGGCUAACUCCGUGCCAGCAGCCGCGGUAAUACGGAGGAUCCGAGCGUUAUCCGGAUUUAUUGGGUUUAAAGGGAGCGUAGAUGGGUUGUUAAGUCAGUUGUGAAAGUUUGCGGCUCAACCGUAAAAUUGCAAUUGAUACUGGCAGUCUAGAGUACAGUUGAGGUAGGCGGAAUUCGUGGUGUAGCGGUGAAAUGCUUAGAUAUCACGAAGAACCCCGAUUGCGAAGGCAGCUUACUAAACUGUGACUGACAUUGAUGCUCGAAAGUGUGGGUAUCAAACAGGAUUAGAUACCCUGGUAGUC